UACUUGCUAAUACAAGUACUAAAUAGAUGUACAGUAAUGACUGCACAGUAGUGUGUUGUGUAGACAUGCCCAAUCAGACAUAACUUCAGUGGAUUCGCAGCAAUCUGCAAAUAGUGUGACAUCAAAGUCAUGGCCAGUGUAUCUGGGUUUUUUUAUUGAUACAUGCCUACUACGAAGAAGGUAGAUUUUAAUUCAUAAAUGCUGUAAUUGUGUUUAAUGGAGCACAACCUACACAUAUAAACCAGACUUUCUGUUUCCCUAUUUCAUAAGCGUGCACACAUGCACACACACAUACACACACGUGUGUAUGUGUGUGCGUGUAUGGGUAUGUAUAGGAGUAUAUGUAAUAUCUAUAAAUGGUAUAACCUGGUCACCUUCACCUUCCCUGAGAUUCUGUGCUGGGUGUUUUUGCUGCUUACUUAGAUAGGUGCUUCUGGAAAUCUCGAAACUCCCAGCUUCUGCUGGCUAUGCCGUCAGAGCUGCUCAGGGAGAGAUCAAGGCCUGUCAUUACCACAGUCUGUCACAAAAGGAACUGUGAAAUCACUGAGACUCUUGCACUUCAAAGUGUCUCCUGAAGGACACUGAGUAGGAAACGCAGCUCUAUUUCAGUAGGUUUAGUGAAAGCAUCCGCCAAGCACAGUGACUGCAGAGCAGAGAGAACAAUAAGCCAAGAUAUAUAUAAAAGUGAAAAACCCAAUAUUAGCUUAGUAAAUGUGGUACUGGGCGAAGUAGGACAGAGUGACAAUGACCUUAGGGCUUAGGUACUCAAGCUGUUAAUUAAAGGGAAGGCUCUUAUCUGAACUGAGCAUUAGGGGAAGGGGAGCACCUGUGUGGUAUUUCUUGGAUUGAAUUGUUAAUCAGUAUUAAUUAUUUUAUGGUAAUAAGGAGAUGUGAGUAGACUAUAUACCAGGUUUCUGAAUACUGUUAUUAAAUUAAUAUAAAAGCAUAGCAAAUAAAUCUAUUUCUGGAAAAAAAAGUUAUGUUCUGCAAGGUUGGACCCAUGAUUAGCUUGCAUUCCAGAGAUAAGAAAUUGCAUAUUAUCAAUGGAGACCACAGUGGCAUAAAAAGAGCUGGAAAAUUACUCUGGGAGUGAGGAAGAGCAACUGAAGUAGAGCUGAGUACAUAAUGCUAAAAUCAAAAGAAGAUGAAGAAGCUUUGUGACUUGGUUCAGGUGUCAGUCUUAAACCUUAUUUUCUUCCUAAAUCAUAGCUCUUAUGGCAGCAUCCUACGUUUCCUUUUCCGGGAGAGAAGAGUUAUUGAGGAAACAAGGGCAUUGGGUGUAUGUGGCAGUCCCAGAUGCCUUGCUUUCUGGCUGGAAUACUGCCGUGUCUGUUAAACGGUUUGAUACGAUGGCAAAGAGAAACCCUUGAAGUACUUUACCAGAAAUGUCCACGCUAUUAGAGUGGCCCUGACAAAUAAUCCAUAGAUGUUAUGCCUGUAAAAUUGAAAUGAAGCUCAGAGUCAUUGCAUGUCUGAAUUCCAGCUGCUGCCCUUUAUGUCUGGCAGCUAAGACAUAAUUCAGGCACAUACAGUAGCUUGGCUUUGGAUUACAUUUCAAGUUUCAGAGCAAGUGGAUUGCUGUGGCUCAGUGAAGAAUAAGUUGACACGUCCAAAAAAGUAAGGAAAACUGAAUUCAUUUUUAUCAACUAAAAAGGAAACUUUUAUUAUGGGAAGCAGGGAAAGAGAUGAAAAGAUACCUAAAUGAUUCUAGGCUUUUUACUUUCCCUUCUUAAAUUUAUUAGCACUGUGGAUGUGUCAGACAUUGUUUGUAUCAAGUGUUUGCAGGCUUCAUUCAAAAUCAGUUGACCAACAUUAGCAUUUCAGAACCAAACCAAUACCAACCUUCUCGCUUACAUUUCUGUUGCGAACACUGUAUUUAUUCAAGAUUUCAGAAGCAGGUCUCUGAAGUUCCUGAUCGACUUCAGAAAGGAAUUCUGCUAUACACUCUACAGCAGGCACUGAAACCAUGAUACAAAAUUUAUUUCAUGCUAGAAUUGUUUUGCAUAACAUUUUGCAUGCAUUUUACUCAGAAGUACUAAAUUGCAUACAAUGCUGUCAUCUUGUUUCUUAAACUUUGAGACAAGUUUAUAUUUGAAUAUUCUCCUGAUUUUUGUACUAUAAGUCCCAGUUUUAAAAUAACACCUUUUUGUUUAAAAUUCAUACUGAUUACUUAAUAUGAACAAUUUGUUUUGAAGGGUCUUCACGUUGGAUCUAUACAUCAAUAAAAUACAACAUAACCAGAGCUGGAAAUUAAAUCUAAACCAGCUGUUACUGUCAGGUCCAAAGAAAGGUCCUGUGUGUCACAAGCAUGCCAACAAAAACAGACAGGAAAAAAGGAAUUUCUUAAAUUUACACAAUUCUAGUUGGAUUAAAAGUUCUUGAUUUCCAUGUCAGUGUGAUGAGUUAUGAAGGCGUGGUCAAUAUGACCGAUGACUGCCCGAUUGCACUUUUUAAAACCAUUACUCUGUAUCUUGUAUACAAAAAAGAAGCAAUCCAUAGCAAAGAAAUGUACAGUUUUAUAAUGUUUUACAUUUUGGCUACAACAAUGUAUGUAAAAGUAAAGAGCUUUGAAAGAAAAUAUAUAACUUUGCUGUUUUUCCUUAAAGUUAAUCAUACAAUUGCAGUUUUUUUGUUUACUUCAUGCAAUUCAUGCUAUGAAACAAAAAAAAAUUCUUCUACAGUUUUGUUACAUUUUGGCCGUAGAAAAAGCCUGCAUCUCUAGUACAACUCCAAAACCAUGUAGAAUCAUCCAUAAAACCUGCAUGGAGCGAGUUUACUUUGUCCAAAUGAGGAGAUCUUCCAUGCCUGAACAGUUCCACACAGAUGCUUAUUAGCCAUCAAUGUUCAUCUCCAUCUCUCCUUGUCAAGUCACUCUGACUGCCUCUGUUGGCAUAUAUUUAGCAAUGACAGGACUUUCUUUGCAAAGAUCUGCAUGUAAAGAAUACAAUCAAUACUUGAGCUUCUUUCCUGUGCUUUUCAAAUCAAGCUUGGCAUUUUAGUUUUAAAGGAAGGAGGAAAAGGUAGAAUAGCUACAUGCAGAGGCAGCCAUAUUCUUCUUCAACAGGAUUUUUUUUCCAUGCAGUCAGCCAGACUGAGACCUCCCUAUAGUGCGUCUUAGUAUUGCUUUCAGCUUAUAAUAGGUGCCCAUGCAAAGUUUCAUCCUACUGUGCUCGCUUGCUCAAACUCCUGCAGGGUUCCUAUGGCUCAAAAAUAUCCUGAGAAAAGCAAAAUCUUCGAUCGUUGGCACAUUUCAGCAUCGACUAAAUGCCUAACCCAUUUCGUAAGAGCCAGUGGAUCCACCAUGUAGCCAAGGUAAGCGCAUACUAGCAUGGUGCACCGUUAAAGAAACUACCUGGUGCACCCACCUUUCAUCCUGUGUAUCAAUAUCAUGCAGCAUAUGGCCCACCAGUGCUAUUUAAUGCCCACCUGUUGUCAUCUUAAUACUAUUUAAGGGUGUUGUCACCUAAUGUCAGUAGUAACACCAGGCUGAUGAGGUGCUACUGUGAGACAUGACAUCUUCAGACUUAGUCACCUGGGUUAUAUGCAGCGUAGCAUAGGCUAAUUGGAAAUAAAGCUUUUUAGACCAUUCUCUGCUACUGAUCCAUGCUACAAAAUAGAUGGGAUGGGAGACCAAGAACGUCUCAUUGGACUAGGAGAGCUGUAGGGCGCAGACACUGAGGAUAAUCCUAUCGCUUUUCCACUUAUGCCAGCUAUGCUGUUAAGGCUCCGUGACAUUUCAUAACCUUCAUUUAAAAGAAAAAUGCAAAGUACAGCAUUGGAUCAACAACAGAAUGGACUAAGAAUGAGGUCAACAUUGUAGCCAGUUCAAUAGCAUCUGCAUGCAGUGACAUGCUGAGAGUAGUAUCGCUUGCAACAUGAUGUAGAAGGCCAUCUAAGAACAGGUAAAGGGUUGUGUGGUGUGGGAAGCAAAGGAUGUGCAGACUAUAUUAUAGCAUAGGCAAGGCUAUCAUUCUAGCUCACUGCAGUGAGGGCAAAAAAUAUUCACUGGAGGGAAUUAUUUUCAGUGGACGCUAAAUUCCGCUUCCUUCCCCUGUCUCCUCUAGCCUCAUGUAUUUGGAUCUUAUGCAAAAAUUAAGCUCACUUGUAACUUAAAAAAGAAUUUAUUCUGUUGCCAUAGAGAUACUACUCAUUUGCUCACAGCUUUCUAAAAAAAUAGAUUGCAUGCAUUCAGUUUCCCCGCCCCCUCCCUUCCUUUUUCCAACAUGCACAAAACAGCUUGGCAAGUGUACACAUAGUUGCACAAACUAUGGAUGAAGUUCAGUUGGAACAACAAUUAAGAUGCUCUCAACGUGUUUCCAACAGGCCAACAAUAUGCUGACAUUUAUUACUCUUUAGCCAACCAGCCUCUCUCUCAUUCAGCAGACAGGCUCAGUUUUCAGCUGUGGUGCAUCAGGAGAACUAUACAUUCCUUCUACCAGAAGAUAUGCCAUUUGGCCCAUUCUCCUGAUUCACUGAGGCAGUGAAAACUGGCUCUGACUGAAUGUAAGUGGCCAGUACUUAUCCAGUACAGAAUCAGGUAAAACACUUUGCUACAAAGGUAAAUUUUAGCAGAGAUACUUUCACAUGAAAGUGUUGUGGUCCAACUCUAUCUUUGUUAAUGAUAAGCCUAGAACUUAUAAUUACAUACACUAUAACUGGCAGUUAUUAUAUACUGUUGCCCAUCAUACAAUGGCACAUGGGAAUUCUAAUCCAUACCCAUGGUAUGGUUUACAUCAUACAAUCUUUUGCAUUUUUUUAAAUACUGAAUAUAUUAUAUGCUAUAUACAGUACACCAGUGAUUAACACUGAUUCUAUUAUAUAUAUAACCCAUCAAAAUUCCCCACUCCUGAUUCAUUUUUAUGCACAUACGCAGUUGAAAUCUUGUGUAUUGAACGAUAUCUGCAUUUUUUGUUUGCUUGGUUUUCCUGGAUUAAACUACACAUUAAACCAUGCAAUCUGUCAUAAAACAAAUACAGGAAGUUGUAUUUUGUUUGGGACCUGGAAUUAUUGACUACAAGGAUUACCACUCUCAAGACAAAAUUGAAUUCCUUCUGGAAGAUCUGUAGCAGUCAGAAGUUUAAAAACGAAUUGUGGUAAAUGUAAGUUAAUGAAAAGAAACUGAUUUUAGGUAGAUCACUGUGUUGACCUAAAAGAAGCCAAUGUUAACACAUUCUGAUAUGAAAUCCUCUCUUGCUCUCUACAGUAACAUAGCUAGGCAUGACAAACUAAUUAACUUAAGUGCUGCAUGAAGGUAGCGAAAUAGUCCGAAUAAUCACUGUGAGUCUUGGGUUUUCUUGGCAGGGUGGGGAGGUUAUAGGGGGUUGGGGGGCUGCCACCUCCAGGUUUCUGACACACACAACCCAGUACACUCUAUGACUCUUCCAGACAGGCAAUAUAAAUGGAUUCCUCUUAUGAGGAUGGAACAGUUUAAGGACUUUGCAGAAUAUUUGUUGAAGCACACUGAAUCAGCUAACAUAGAAGACUAAACUGUGUAGCCAUCAUACUCAGUAGCCACAUCAUAUCAGGCUUUCCCUUCCAAAAGAAAUAUGUUAGAAACUCAAAAUGCAGACAUCAGAUUGUUAAGUUUAGUUCCAGAUGCACAUAUUUAAAACAAGCCCACUACUCCAUGAUAACUAGUUGAUGAUUUUCUCUAUCAAUUUCUUUUUAACUAGGUCACUAGCUAAGUGGUUACAGGACCUCAGCUACAUACCCUUUCUUAUUCCUCCAUCAGGCGGGCAGGGAUAUUCCCCGGUUGAUAAGAGGAAGCAGGGUCCAUAUCUCUCCCGAGUGCCAGAGCGGGUAAAGGGCAGGCCCUCAUCAGGCGUUAUAGCCUGGUCUAUGUGGGGACAGUCUUCAUUUGCCAGCGCCGCCUUGGCCACCUCACCAUUCAGUUUCGAAUCUUCAAACAUAUAAGCAGAAGGCUAUUGACACACUAAGAACUGUUUAUCGGAAUUAAAUCUGCAGGUUAGGGUUCACAGCUAAGGAGUAGAAUGCCGAUGCUUAAAAGGUAGCACAUUUGUCCUAGACACAGUGUCCUUGUGCACUGCAUCAAAAUAAAAUAACAGAUGUUAAGAAGAAGGAGAAACAAAAUGUUAUCUCAUAAGAUGUAACAGCAACCAACUGUACUUUCACAGAGAUGGGGCAGUUUCAGAAAUUGGUUUGCAUUGGUUCCUAGUCCUGUGAGCAAAAGACUGCAGUUAGAAACUGGAUCAUGUUUGGCAUGACAUAAGAUGGCACAUGAAUGAUUUGCUUUUUGUGACACCUGCUGCAACUCGCUGAACACAGGCAAGGCAAUUGACAAUGAGUUGCAUUGUAGUAUUUGAGUAUAUUCUGUUCUUGCUGAUUUCUACCUUUGUGCACUGAUACUUGAGGGACAAGUCCCCAAUGUUUGAACCAUUUGCUUUGUAUUGUUUCCAUUUUUAGGUUACAUGGAACGGUAGUAGACAUUUUAGAUAGACACACAGAGUACACUAUGUAUUGAAAGGCGACAGCAGAACAUGGAUUUUAAAUAGUAAUCCAUUUUCUGAUGUUCUUUUCUGUGAUGUACAGUUUUUGCAAUGUCAGCACAGGACACUACAUAUGAAUAAAAAUACAGCAGCCCAUGGAUUUUGAAAAUAAAUUGAGUAACAUUUACCCUCCAUCUUCAAAGAAUGAAAAUGUGUCAUGAAAUGUGUCCAUUUUAGUUCAAAUGUUCCUGUGAAGGUAGACUGAGAAUAGAAUGUUUUCUCUGGGUGACUUACUUCACUUUCAUAAAGCAAUUUAAAGUGCUUCUAUAGGAUUCCUUUUAAUUUUUUUUUAAGUGCCAGUUAAUAUAAUGAGAAUAUACUCAAAAUAUGACACAGUUAAUAGGAAUAUUUUGACCACAGGGAGGAAGAGAAACAGUCAAAAAGGUACUUCAAAAAGUUGCACAGGUGCUGAGAUAUGUGCUUAAUUAAAUAGUGUGGUUAAAAUCUUUGCAGUAUCCUAAACCUCGGUUGCACAAUGCUUAUUACUCAGAAACUGUCGGGCAUACACUACAAAUGAACCUCCAAGUCUUAACUAAAGAGGAAAAUGGACUGAUUUCCACUCCCUUCCCACUAACUUGCUUCCAACCCUGUGUGAUUUUUGACAUCUGCUUUUCAGAAACCUAGUUAUUAAGGAAGGCUGAGUCUAUAGGUAGGCCCUAGAAAGAGAGACUUCAGACAGGAUGAAUGAACCAUUCAGAGAAUUAAGUUCUGAGACCCCUUGGUUUCAUAGAGGCAUGGUAGAAAAGUAAGGGCUUUUUUUCAGGUCUCUUUCUCUUAACGUUACACACACACCUUUUACAUACGGCUUGGUGUAUGUACUAUCUUUACUCCAUACAUACUUGUACUCCUAUCCUUGUAUUCUACAUCUUCAUUUCUUCCCCCUUUCCCUCCACUGUGAAUGGAGAUAGUGCUGUGGAGACAGUUCCCCUCUCCCCAUAAUCUUCUCCUGUUUGGAAGUAUGUAGUCUCCACCUUCUUCCACUAUUAUCUGUUAAUGAACAAUUUAUUCACCAAAGACUUUUUUUUUUUUAAAACAGAGGCCCGCUUAGGUUUCUUCAUCUGUUAGCCCAACAGAAGCUAUGACCACUUUCCAAAAUUAAAGAGGUCGCUUCGGAACAGGGUUCUAAAUAAAGUUUCAGGGUACCAGUAAUUUCUGAUUCAUUUGUGUUCAUAAGACACACAUAUCUCAUACUUCUGCUUAUUCUGCCAAAAGCAGCAUGGUUACAUUAGUAACCAUGACAUACCAUUGUAUAGAGCUGGUUCUUUAAAACUUGCACCGAUACGUUCUGUGAAGUUACUGUUUCUCAAGGAGAUCAGUAAUGUAGUGGGCUAAUGCACUACUCAUCUUUAACCUCCACAGCCUAUGUCCUUAAUCCUGCAAUGAUACCUUCACCUGCCUAGCACCCUGUGGUUUACAGUGCCAAGAUCAAUGCUGCAUUCAGCUUGAAGCCUGAAUAUUGCAGUAUAUUAAUGUUAGAAAUGGUUCAAAAGUUAAACUGCCCAGCAAAACACCCAUGAACGUGGUAAGUUUGCAGCUUACACCUGUCUGGCUCAACUUCAUAUUUAAUAAGAAUCAUCAGCCACGUAGACCAUGUUCUUUAUCCUUGAGCAUUCUGAAGUGUGCUAUAAAUGUGAACUGAAAUUGAAACAAAACCCUAGAAGUAGAUCCACUAAAAUGUACUAAAAUGCAGCUACUCCCAAGUGAGAAAGGCUUGAGUUCACAUAACAACCACUGUAGUUCAGACCAGAAAGAAAUGAAUACCUCAUCCAAUUGCAGUUACCUGGGGAAUUUGAACAGAUUGUACAAGUUGGUAUUGGCCUGAAACACAAAA